rnacentral:rRNA from 1 species
UACGAAUGGUCCAAGCGUUGUUCGGAAUCAUUGGGCUUAAAGAGCACGUAGGCGGGAAUUUAAGUGUCCUGUGAAAUCCCUCGGCUUAACCGAGGAACUGCGGGACAUACUGGAUUCCUUGAGGCAAGUAGGGGUGUGUGGAACUCCAGGUGGAGCGGUGAAAUGCGUAGAUAUCUGGAGGAACGCCAGCAGAGAAGUCGGCACACCGGGCUUGUUCUGACGCUGAGGUGCGAAAGCGUGGGGAGCGAAGAGGAUUAGAUACCCCCGUA